AGCUUAGUGGUCGAGUGGUAAGGACACUAGCCUCUAACCCUGGAGUCUCGGGUUCGAACCCCAGUUGAGGAGCUA